GGAGACUCCGCCGUGCGCUUGACGUCAUACACCGCAUUCGAAGCCCACCCGAGGACUACAGUAACGUCUUGAGGGAGACCUGUAACAGUGGAUCAUGCUCCAGACAGUGAGUAACCCCCCGGGCUUGUGCAUCAGUGCCAAAACCAUUCCAGAGAGAAAGCCGAUAUAUUCCUGCCCUGGCGCCACAGACCCUGUUCCAGAGAGGAAGCUGAUGUAUUCAGGCAAUGGUAUACUGGACCCUGCUCCAGAGCGUAGGUACAGGCAGGCCUAUUUUUCCAGGUAUAGGUGGAAAUGGAGGAAGAAGUCCAAAAAAAACCCACAGCCGUUGCCGCCAGCCUCACCUCUGCCACCAUAUGAGGAAGAAAACUGGGAGGAGGAGAUGGGAAUCAUAGAGACAUAUGGAUUUGCUCCAUAUGGCCCAGAGGAUGUGGAUAGAGUGGCCCUACAGGGGUUGACCCUGAACCAGGCCCCCUGCCCUCCCCACCCCCAGACAGCAACCGACUACAGCCCUGCCACCCACCACCAAGCCCCCAUCAAAUGGGUCCGCCACAUCAUCCGCAGCGUGGAGGAGCAGUUUGUCGACGCAGAGGUUUGAGGUCCGGAUUAUUUUCCUGCUGUAGCAAACUGCCGACCCCUCCCACACUCUACACCCUCAGUUUGAGAGACUUCCCUCUGGCUGGCGCUUCAGAAUGCCCAUAGCCAGGAAGAACGUGUUCAAACAUCCCUUUGUUCCUUGUGCCUAUGGACUACUAAAUGCAAAGUAAAUUGUAUCUGUAUAUGCACUUCUCUAUCCAGUGAGUGAGUCAACAUAUCAAUGUCCAUUAUGUUUUUAGUGUAUGAAAUGUGAUAGACUGACUGGUUUAAAUGUGUAUGAUGUGAAAAUGUAUGUGAUCCUUUUAAUGGAAGGUGAUGCCAAAGAACAACAACAUCCAUCCUGGACGAACAAAGUGUUAUUCUAAAUUUAAGAUCCUACAUCUGUAGGCCAAUCUACAUUCUACAGUGCGUAUCUAACCAAAACAUCUGUAGGCCAAUCUACAUUCUACAGUGCGUAUCUAACCAAAACAUCUGUAGGCCAAUCUACAUUCUACAGUGCGUAUCUAACCAAAACAUCUGUAGGCCAAUCUACAUUCUACAGUGCGUAUCUAACCAAAACAUCUGUAGGCCAAUCUACAUUCUACAGUGCGUAUCUAACCAAAACAUCUGUAGGCCAAUCUACAUUCUACAGUGCGUAUCUAACCAAAACAUCUGUAGGGCAAUCUACAUUCUACAGUGCGUAUCUAACCAAAACAUCUGUAGGCCAAUCUACAUUCUACAGUGCGUAUCUAACCAAAACAUCUGUAGGCCAAUCUACAUUCUACAGUGCGUAUCUAACCAAAACAUCUGUAGGCCAAUCUACAUUCUACAGUGCGUAUCUAACCAAAACAUCUGUAGGCCAAUCUACAUUCUACAGUGCGUAUCUAACCAAAACAUCUGUAGGCCAAUCUACAUUUUACAGUGCGUAUCUAACCAACACAUCUGUAGGCCAAUCUACAUUUUACAGUGCGUAUCUAACCAACACAUCUGUAGGCCAAUCUACAUUCUACAGUGCGUAUCUAACCAAAACAUCUGUAGGCCAAUCUACAUUCUACAGUGCAUAUCUAGACAAAACGUAGCAUUGAGUUGAAGCUGGAUACACAUCAUAUGACCAUUGAAUGAUUGCUGUGAAUCACUUCAACCCUCCGAACACACACAAACACACACACACGCUAAUGUGUCUGGGACGUCACACACUGGUCUGAACAUGCAGUAGAAUAGAUAGCUAGUGUAGUACCUCUGAGAAUAGGAUCUGUAAUGUGUCCCCUGUCAGUUGCGCAUGUGGAGCUGCCAGCAUUGUUCGCUGGACGCUGACAGCUGUGUGUACUUAUCGAGAAUAAACACAGCUCACAGAUCUUGGACACAUUUGCAUGGGAAGAAGAGGAGAGGAGAAGGCAGACGGGAGUGACUCAAGCCUGUUGUCCACCUACAACACUCUGCUCCAUUGACAUUAACAUGUAUCUCAAAGGGGGGGUUUAGAAUAUAUGUUGGUUUUAGCCUCCCGAUUAUCUGCUUUAUCUUUCAGCUCUCUGGGGGCUGGCUUGUUCUGUGUCUGGCAGUAGUGCUAGGGGAAGUACAGAUGAGGAGUGUCUGCAUAGUUGACAAUCCUGGGCUGGUCCCACUGGCCUGUGUGAGUGAGUGGGCCUUCUGAUGCAGCUCCAGGGUGGGGCUCGAGGACUGUCU